GACGAACGCUGGCGGCGUGCUUAACACAUGCAAGUCGAACGGAAAGGCCCUGCUUUUGUGGGGUGCUCGAGUGGCGAACGGGUGAGUAACACGUGAGUAACCUGCCCUUGACUUUGGGAUAACUUCAGGAAACUGGGGCUAAUACCGGAUAGGAGCUCCUGCUGCAUGGUGGGGGUUGGAAAGUUUCGGCGGUUGGGGAUGGACUCGCGGCUUAUCAGCUUGUUGGUGGGGUAGUGGCUUACCAAGGCUUUGACGGGUAGCCGGCCUGAGAGGGUGACCGGCCACAUUGGGACUGAGAUACGGCCCAGACUCCUACGGGAGGCAACAGUGGGGAAUAUUGCACAAUGGGCGGAAGCCUGAUGCAGCAACGCCGCGUGCGGGAUGACGGCCUUCGGGUUGUAAACCGCUUUCGCCUGUGACGAAGCGUGAGUGACGGUAAUGGGUAAAGAAGCACCGGCUAACUACGUGCCAGCAGCCGCGGUGAUACGUAGGGUGCGAGCGUUGUCCGGAUUUAUUGGGCGUAAAGGGCUCGUAGGUGGUUGAUCGCGUCGGAAGUGUAAUCUUGGGGCUUAACCCUGAGCGUGCUUUCGAUACGGGUUGACUUGAGGAAGGUAGGGGAGGAUGGAAUUCCUGGUGGAGCGGUGGAAUGCGCAGAUAUCAGGAGGAACACCAGUGGCGAAGGCGGUUCUCUGGGCCUUUCCUGACGCUGAGGAGCGAAAGCGUGGGGAGCGAACAGGCUUAGAUACCCCGGUAGUCCACGCUGUAAACGGUGGGUACUAGGUGUGGGGUCCAUUCCACGGGUUCCGUGCCGUAGCUAACGCUUUAAGUACCCCGCCUGGGGAGUACGGCCGCAAGGCUAAAACUCAAAGGAAUUGACGGGGCCCCGCACAAGCGGCGGAGCAUGCGGAUUAAUUCGAUGCAACGCGUAGAACCUUACCUGGGUUUGACAUGGAUCGGGAGUGCUCAGAGAUGGGUGUGCCUCUUUUGGGGUCGGUUCACAGGUGGUGCAUGGCUGUCGUCAGCUCGUGUCGUGAGAUGUUGGGUUAAGUCCCGCAACGAGCGCAACCCUUGUUCACUGUUGCCAGCACGUUAUGGUGGGGACUCAGUGGAGACCGCCGGGGUCAACUCGGAGGAAGGUGGGGAUGACGUCAAGUCAUCAUGCCCCUUAUGUCCAGGGCUUCACGCAUGCUACAAUGGCUGGUACAGAGAGUGGCGAGCCUGUGAGGGUGAGCGAAUCUCGGAAAGCCGGUCUCAGUUCGGAUUGGGGUCUGCAACUCGACCUCAUGAAGUCGGAGUCGCUAGUAAUCGCAGAUCAGCAACGCUGCGGUGAAUACGUUCCCGGGGCU
rnacentral:rRNA from 1 species